GCCUUGUUAGCUCAAUCGGUAGAGCAACCGGCUGUUAACCGGUAGGUCGUGGGUUCAAGUCCCUCACAAGGCGCCA
rnacentral:tRNA from 2 species